rnacentral:rRNA from 1 species
UACGUAGGGGGCAAGCGUUGUCCGGAAUCAUUGGGCGUAAAGCGCGUGUAGGCGGCCCGGUAAGUCCGCUGUAAAAGUCCAGGGCUCAACCCUGGAAGGCCGGUGGAUACUGUCGGGCUCGAGUCCGGAAGAGGCGAGUGGAAUUCCUGGUGUAGCGGUGAAAUGCGCAGAUAUCAGGAGGAACACCAGUGGCGAAGGCGGCUGGCUGGACCAGUACUGACGCUGAGGCGCGAAAGCCUGGGGAGCGAACAGG